ensembl:snRNA U6 U6 spliceosomal RNA
GUGCUCCUUUUGGUGGCACAUAUCCCAAAUUUAGAGUGAUACAGGGAAGAUUAGCAUGGCCCCUAGCAAGAAUGCAAUGCAAAUUUGCAAAGCAUUCCAUAUUUUU